rnacentral:lncRNA from 1 species
UUUGACGAGUACGAUUAUUUAUUUGCAGCACUGAUGUAAUUAAUGUAUAUUGUUAUUUCCAUGAUGCAGGAAGUGAGGCUCCAGCCUGACUUAAGUGAGGCUCCAGCCUGACUUGUGGCUUUACUCGAAAUCUGUCUGUUUGGUCCGUGAGUACAAAGUAACCAAAAUUCCUCGGUUCGGUUCUCACAGUAUAGAACCGCUGGUACGCUGCUGUAUUUAGGCGUUCAGUCGGAAAUAUAGGAAAUUUGUCGAAUAUCAUUAUGGGACCGGCAGCAGGAUUCAGUAAUGUUACCUUUGCAGUACAUCAAGGUUAAAUUCUAAGGCACCCUUGUUUCGAAUAGAUGACCAAUCCCUGCAUAUUAUUUUGCAUGAUCAAAAGCAAAAGAUUUUAGUUGUUAAUACACUGGGUACCUAUCUGUAACUGUACAUGAGUAGAAUAGUAUCAAUAUAGUGGAAAAUGGUUCACAAUUAAUGAACCCAGAACACAGAUUUCUGGCCGCCAAUUUCUUUAAUAAAGUUCUCAUCCUUUUUCGGUGAACUGGUCGAUCAAUCCGAU